GUCCUUGUAAAUUCUGGAGUGUGGUCUAGACCUGUGUUUCUCAAAUGGGGGUGCGUGUCCCCCUAGGGGUACUCUGGAGGACCGCAGGGGUGCGUGUCCCCUAGGGGUACUCUGGAGGACUGCAGGGGUGCGUGUCCCCUUAGGGGUACUCUGGAGGACGGCAGGGGGGUGCGUGUCCCCGUAAGGGUACUCUGGAGGACUGCAGGGGUGCGUGUCCCCCUAGGGGUACUCUGGAGGACUGCAGGGGUGCGUGUCCCCCUAGGGGUACUCUGGAGGACUGCAGGGGUGCGUGUCCCCUAAGGGUACUCUGGAGGACUGCAGGGGUGCGUGUCCCCCUAGGGGUACUCUGGAGGACUGCAGGGGUGCGUGUCCCCUAAGGGUACUCUGGAGGACUGCAGGGGUGCGUGUCCCCCUAGGGGUACUCUGGAGGACUGCAGGGGUGCGUGUCCCCGUAAGGGUACUCUGGAGGACUGCAGGGGUGCGUGUCCCCCUAGGGGUACUCGGGAGGACGGCAGGGGUGCGUGUCCCCUAGGGGUACUCUGGG